GGCGUCGUGGAUUCGGCGUGAUUGAAGCUUCGUGGAUUCGAAGUGGAGGCGUUCGUGGAUUCGGACGUGAGGGCGUGGACAACCCGGAGGGUAGCGCGAAGAUUCAUAGGAGGUUAAGAGAGGUUGAGUUCGUGGAGUCGGUAAUCACCUUGUAAUCUUUUCUCUUAGUGAAUUAUUUUUUCGCGUGUUGGUCCCGUGGGUUUUUCUCCAAGUUGGAGUUUUCCCACGUAAAUCUCGGUGUGCUUUUUAUUUUCCGCAUUUAUUUUUAUUGCAUCGAGAUUUGUGGUUGUAAGGUACGGGACUUCUAAAGCUAUGAAGUUACGGUGUACAUUUAAAUGGUUCCGGUGAAGUUACGGUAUAAUGUAACAUACCGGAUUUUAAAUAUAAAAAUACAUAAAUAAAUAAAAAUAGUAUGAGAUACUAUUUUAUUGGGUUUAGAGAAGUAAAAUAUAGAUUGGAAUGACCUGUGCUGAAAUCGGAGCGAAAACAGAAAAUUUAAAAUUUUCUGUGAGAAACGGGACAGAUAAAUUAGUAGAAAAUGCACAGUCUCAGAAAAUUAUGAAAAUUGGCGGGGAUGUCAAUAAUAUUUUAAUGAGGCUAGAUUUAAAGUUUCAUAUUUUUCUGACACCCGUAGAGUGAGAAAUAAAAUCCGAAGGCUAUCUGAUAAAGAUUGCAGUUCGGCACAGUUUUCGAUGACCAAACGGGGUCGAAACUGAAAACUUAAGAUAUAUUAUUGUUCAGUACGUUAAACCGAACAUGACUGUCAAAUUUGAGCUCAAAUGGAUACUCUGGAAGCUCCGGCGAAAGAUAUCAGAUUUUAAGUUGGUUGGAGUGAAUAGUGUUGGUGUUGACUUUAAUUAGAAGCAUCAGCUUCUUCUCCUUCAACCGACCACCGCCACCAUGGACACACACACGCAUGCACGGAAGGGGGAGAGAAACCCUCCUUUCUCUCUCUAAAUAUCUCUCUCAUCUCUCUAUAUCUCUCUCUAAAAAUUGGAGGGUUGGUGGAGAUCGAGCUUGCGAACGCGUUGGAGGCGACGGAUCGAGCUUUCGUGCGCCCGUUGGAGCGGCGUGUUUUCGUUGCGGCGUUCACAUUGGGGUAAGCUUUUGGAAUUUGGCUUAAUCCUUAGCUUUAAGAGUUCUAGUAGCCUCUAAUGAUUAUUAUUAGCAUAUUGCUCCAUUUAAUUUGGAUUAUUUGGAGGUUAUUUCAUGUUAGGGCUCAAAAAUGCUAAUUUUGAAAAUAUGAGGGUUUGAUCUAAUUUAACCCUCCGUAAACCUAAUUGCUAGGUAACGAAACACGUUGGCGAAGACAAUUCGGCAAUCCGACGAGCCGUUACAAAGUUAUUAAAGAAACGGACGUUUAGGCUUCGUUUUCGCCUGGAGGGCCGAGGCGACGUCGUAUACUCAUGAAAACGGAUUUGAAGUAUCGUGGCACAUAACCGAAGACCUUUAAUUUUC
rnacentral:lncRNA from 1 species